rnacentral:misc_RNA from 1 species
UCCAUUCAAUUAACUUCUCGUCCUAAGCGAGACAUCAGCAAGGUCACGAGAAAGUUUGUCCGGUUAACCGAAGAAGCUUCCGGUGCACAACACCGGCCUGGUCACACCUUUGCAAUAACAUCGUUGCAGAGGAUGAGUUGACAUCAGAACAGACCAGGAAUAAACGACACUCAUCAUCAUGCCACCAAGAAUUAAACUUCGAACCUUAAAGAAGGUUUUAUAUGUUGGUGCUGCAGUGGGGGGCAGCUUGUUGCUGACUGCUGGUGUUUACCCAGAAAUUGCAUCACGAUCCCAGUCAUUUUCAAGUACCUAUAACACAAUAAGUAGAAAGCUUGGAUUUUGUGUUAUUGAAGAAGAUCAGGGGGAUACAAUAAAGGCAGCAGAAGAUGAACUUAGGCUGAUGAACAAACCCUUACCUCCAAGACAAGAAAUUCUCAAUUCAUUACGUGAUGAGGAAUUCGACAUACUUGUCAUUGGAGGUGGUGCCACAGGCACUGGAGUGGCCCUGGAUGCUGUGACAAGGGGUCUUAAGACUGGACUAGUGGAAAAAUUUGACUUUGGAUCUGGCACUAGCAGUCGCAGUACAAAACUUAUCCAUGGUGGUGUUAGAUACUUGCAGAAGGCUAUCUUCAACCUGGAUUUGGAACAGUAUCGCAUGGUGAAAGAAGCAUUGGCAGAGCGAUCUAAUCUCGUUAAUAUAGCUCCUCAUCUGGCAGUUCCAUUACCCAUCAUGCUGCCUGUUUAUAAAUGGUGGCAGGUACCCUACUUUUGGUUUGGAAUCAAAAUGUAUGAUGUAGUGUCUGGAGGACAAGUGCUUAAGCCAUCAUAUUUCCUCACCAAGGCAAAGGCGCUUGAAUUUUUUCCCAUGUUGAAAAAGGAUAAGCUAAUGGGAGCUAUUGUUUACUAUGAUGGCCAGCAUAAUGAUGCGAGGAUGAAUGUGUCCUUAGCUGUAACAGCUGUACGACAUGGAGCUUCUGCCGCGAACUAUGUAGAGGUCCUUAAACUUCUCAAAGAGGAAAUUGAUGGCAGAGAAGUUGUGUGUGGUGCAAGAGUCAAGGACACUUUGACUGACGAAGAGUGGGAUGUAAAAGCCAAGUGUGUGAUUAAUGCCACUGGGCCUUACACAGAUCGAAUUCGCAUGAUGGCAGAUGAGUGUACCCCCAAGAUCUGCCAGCCUAGCUCUGGAGUUCAUGUGGUGCUUCCAGAUUACUACAGUCCAGAAAACAUGGGCUUGCUGGAUCCAGCCACUAGUGAUGGUCGAGUGAUCUUUUUCUUACCAUGGCAGAAAGUAACGGUAGCAGGAACAACUGACACUCCCUGCCAGGUAACAGACUAUCCCCAGCCCACUGAGUCUGAGAUUCAGUUCAUUCUAAAUGAAAUUAAAAACUACCUUAGUUCUGAUAUUGAAGUUCGUCGUGGUGAUGUGCUGUCAGCUUGGAGUGGUAUUCGUCCUUUAGUGAUAGACCCUUCCAAAUCUGAUACCCAGUCAAUAGCCCGAAAUCAUGUCAUUGAGGUUUCUCCAAGCCGCUUGAUCACUAUUGCUGGCGGCAAAUGGACCACGUACAGGCAUAUGGCAGAAGAAACAGUGGACCGGGCUGUAAAGGUGUGCAAGCUCAAGCCCACAUGUGCCUGCCGUACAAAGGGGCUGUUAUUGGAUGGGGCUCAUGGAUGGUCACCCACUCUCUUCAUUCGCCUUGUGCAGGACUUUGGACUUGAAAAUCAGGUAGCCCAGCAUCUUGCCAACACAUAUGGGGAUAAAGCUAUCAUGGUAGCUAAGCUGUCAAAUCUAACAGGCAAGUGCUGGCCAGUUGUGGGCAGACGACUUCAUGAGGAGUUUCCAUACAUUGAAGGAGAGGUGAAAUAUGCAGUUCGAGAGUAUGCUUGCAGAGCAAUUGAUAUAAUUGCACGAAGAACAAGACUGGCAUUCUGCAAUGUUCAUGCAACUCAGGAGGCAUUGCCAAAAAUUAUAGAUAUCAUGGCCCAGGAGUUAGGAUGGGAUGAAACCAGAAAAAAGGAUGAAUAUUGCAGAGCUGACACCUUUUUGCGACGAGAGAUGGGCCUGGAUAUCAAACAUAGCAUGUGCACCCAGCAACAGCUUAACUUCACUAAGGAAGAAAUUAACCAAUAUGUGAAGCGUUUCAAGUCUCUAGAUUUUGACAACAAAGGCUUCAUCACUAUUAAUGACUUGAGAAGCUAUUUUGAGAAAGUGGGAGAGUGUGUGUCAGAAGACCAGAUGCAUGAAAUCCUCAAUGAGGUGGAUCUCAAUCGCAAUGCUCAAGUUGACCUAGGAGAAUUCUUGCAGCUUCUGAGUGCAUUGAAAAAACGUGCUGAUGAAGAGAAACCAGAAGGAUGCCUGCACAUGCUAUCAUGUUUUCUUAGAACUGAACGAUGAACCACCAGAAGAUUUAGACUGUAUAUAUCCUCCAAAGAAAAGUGGUUGUGGUGCUCCUGAACCUUAUGUUGCUCCUGUUAAUGUUCCUCCUCCUCCUAAACCCAUGAAAUAUGUUAAGCCCCCUGGUAAGAGAAAUCGGCAUCCAGACUCCUGACUGUGAAAGCGCAAAUGUUUUUUUAACGUGAAUAAACACAGCAAAUUUCGCUAACUUGGUUGCUUCCUGGCACCCUUUUCAACCGAAAAAAGGAAAGAACUAAAAAAAGGAAAAAAAGCCAUUGGUGUUUAGUACCCCUGCUCGAUUCUGACAAUCCUGGCAGCUGAGGUUCUUUGAUAGAAAGUAGUCUAAGUACUAUUUAGAAUGUGUUCUCAGAAGCCAGACUCACAAGUUUCAGGCCUAGAAUACUUUUAAGUACUCUCUUUCAUGCAUCAAUAUAAUUUUUCAAAGAGUUGCUUUGUAUGCAAUAUACAAUGCUCCAAUUUCCAGAAAAAAAAAGGAAUAUGUAUAUUGGCAUUAGACUUGCACUGCUAGUGAGGGCAUCCCACUUACCAUCCCACUUUCUGAAAUGAGAUAGGAAGGGCGUUCCUCUACCUAAAGAUGCUGAUCCAUCUUGCCCUCCCAACCUUCUACCCAUCCCUUUUUAAAGAUAUGCCAGAACACUUAGUAAAUGAAUCACCACUUCAAUCUGAAAAUAUUGCACUACAUGGAGUAGAAAACACCCGGACAUGAAAGUGAAGAUGGGAUCAAAUCUGAUGAAUGCUUUGAAGAUGGGAACCGUCAGCAACUCUCGGCUGGCCAUGGCCGCACGGUUUAGUGUAGAACGAGAGGGCAAGACUCAACCAAUCCCAGUGGAGCGCAGUGGUGGUGGCGUGUGAUACACCUCUUACA